GUGUUCAAGCGAGAACUCGAUAGACACCUCCAAAGGAUACCUGAUCCAUCAGGCUGCGAGCAGCCGCGUCCAACAGUCUAAUUGACCAGUCCAUCAACAAGAAAGCCUGAGCAAUAACCGGGCCGCGGGGAAACUAAACCCCGAAACCAACACAAGGUAAGGUAAGCUAAUUUACGAACAGCGACAAUUAACGCGGCCAGCUCACAGGCACCAGUCUAAACAUGGCUCCUGCCCGCCCUGCUGUCCACCUCCCACCUCGCUUACUAUUUCCGCCACGCCAUCUUUGACAUUCGUGUCGCCUACACUCCCUUUCAACGCCUCCUGCAUGAAGAUGACAGCAAGUCAUGCCAAUGUCUCAGAGGCGGUUUCUGUGGGAGACAGACACAAGGCUCGCUCUCCGGCUGGUUCGUUCAGUUACAGCUCUGUGGUUCAGCCUGAAUGGCCUGUGUUCUUACAAUAGGUCCUCUUGGUGGCUCCCCCUAAGCUAGCUGCCUGGUUAGCUCCAAGACUCACUGCAGACCAGAAGCAGAAACUGGUUCACUCAGAGACAAAGGCAGUCUGGGAUACAAGAUCAAUCCAAACCAAAAGGAAAAGCCUCCAAAACAAGCAAUUAUAUACAAAAACAUUGGCAGCCCUAUUAACUAAAUGCUAUUAUUAGCUAACCAGUUACUCUUCCACCAGCAAAUGGCAACCCAGGGCUCCAGCCAGGCAGCUAUUGUAUUUCAAUUCAAUCAUGCACCUGGAGUAGUUUUCACAAAAGCUCAUGCUCCUCCUUGGCUUAUAUUUCAUUUAAGUGUUGGCCUGUUUGUGUUCCCCAGAUACUGUUGAAAAUAGUCAACAUCACCAGUGGAUAUCCACCCGACAGCGUCGGUGCAGAACUCCUCUACUCGAGCGAGGAAGCUCUGGAACAACUGUUUGCUCCAGAACGCUCUACGAAAUGCAGGCCUAAUCAUCACGCCUACCCAGCACUACCUGGCUGUUAGAACCAUUUUUGUCAGCCGCACCAGCAUCUACAUCGCCUCCCAGGACCAUGACACUAUACUGAAAAGCAUUAACAUCAGGAACCUAGCUCUGACUGCUGUCAAAGUUGAGUCAUCAAGAACGAUGACAACCCGCCAAACACACACCAAAACUACGACGUUGGUACAACGUUUGAACAAGUUUUAACACCUAACCAGUUAUGACAACCAAUAUAGCAAGUUGUAACAACGUUC